ACGAACCGUCCAAACGUUAUCCGGAAUUACUGGGCUUAAAGGGUGCGUAGGCGGCGCGGAAAGUUGGGUGUGAAAUCCCUCGGCUUAACCGAGGAAUAGCGCCCAAAACUACCGUGCUUGAGGGAGACAGAGGUGAGCGGAACUGAUGGUGGAGCGGUGAAAUGCGUUGAUAUCAUCAGGAAUACCGGAGGCGAAGGCGGCUCACUGGGGCUUUUCUGACGCUGAGGAACGAAAGCCAGGGUAGCGAACGGGA
rnacentral:rRNA from 1 species